GACGGAGGGUGCGAGCGUUGUUCGGAUUGACUGGGCGUAAAGGGCGUGUAGGCGGUCGGCCAAGUCUGAUGUGAAAGCCCGGGGCUCAGCCCCGGAAGGGCGUCGGAAACUAGCCGGCUGGAGCGCGGUAGAGGAGGGUGGAAUUCCUGGUGUAGCGGUGAAAUGCGUAGAUAUCAGGAGGAACACCGGCGGCGAAGGCGGCCCUCUGGACCGUUGCUGACGCUGAGACGCGAAAGCGUGGGGAGCAAACAGG
rnacentral:rRNA from 1 species